rnacentral:rRNA from 1 species
UGGGGAAUUGUUCGCAAUGGGCGCAAGUCUGACGCAGCGACGCCGCGUGGGGGAUGAAGGUCUUCGGAUUGUAAACCCCUUUCGGGAGGGAAGAUGGAGUGGGUAACCACUUGGACGGUACCUCCAGAAGCAGCCACGGCUAACUUCGUGCCAGCAGCCGCGGUAAUACGAAGGUGGCAAGCGUUGUUCGGAUUCACUGGGCGUACAGGGAGCGUAGGCGGUUGGGUAAGCCCUCCGUGAAAUCUCCGGGCCUAACCCGGAAAGUGCAGAGGGGACUGCUCAGCUAGAGGAUGGGAGAGGAGCGCGGAAUUCCCGGUGUAGCGGUGAAAUGCGUAGAGAUCGGGAGGAAGGCCGGUGGCGAAGGCGGCGCUCUGGAACAUUUCUGACGCUGAGGCUCGAAAGCGUGGGGAGCAAACAGGAUUAGAUACCCUAGUAGUCCCUGAGCGGGCUGGCAAGGCGCAU